rnacentral:rRNA from 1 species
GAUAAACGCUGGCGGCGUGCCUAAUACAUGCAAGUCGAGCGAACAGACGAGGAGCUUGCUCCUCUGACGUUAGCGGCGGACGGGUGAGUAACACGUGGAUAACCUACCUAUAAGACUGGGAUAACUUCGGGAAACCGGAGCUAAUACCGGAUAACAUGUUGAACCGCAUGGUUCAACAGUGAAAGACGGUCUUGCUGUCACUUAUAGAUGGAUCCGCGCCGCAUUAGCUAGUUGGUAAGGUAACGGCUUACCAAGGCAACGAUGCGUAGCCGACCGGAGAGGGUGAUCGGCCACACUGGAACGGAGACACGGUCCAGACGCCUACGGGAGGCAGCAGUAGGGAAUCUUCCGCAAUGGGCGAAAGCCUGACGGAGCAACGCCGCGUGAGUGAAGAAGGUCGUCGGAUCGUAAAACUCGGUUAUUAGGGAAGAACAAAUGUGUAAGUAACUAUGCACGUCUUGACGGUACCUAAUCAGAAAGCCACGGCUAACUACGUGC